CUAAUCCUGGUCGGACAUCAGGAGGUUAGUGCAAUGGCAUAAGCCAGCUUGACUGCGAGCGUGACGGCGCGAGCAGGUGCGAAAGCAGGUCAUAGUGAUCCGGUGGUUCUGAAUGGAAGGGCCAUCGCUCAACGGAUAAAAGGUACUCCGGGGAUAACAGGCUGAUACCGCCCAAGAGUUCAUAUCGACGGCGGUGUUUGGCACCUCGAUGUCGGCUCAUCACAUCCUGGGGCUGAAGUAGGUCCCAAGGGUAUGGCUGUUCGCCAUUUAAAGUGGUACGCGAGCUGGGUUUAGAACGUCGUGAGACAGUUCGGUCCCUAUCUGCCGUGGGCGCUGGAGAACUGAGGGGGGCUGCUCCUAGUACGAGAGGACCGGAGUGGACGCAUCACUGGUGUUCGGGUUGUCAUGCCAAUGGCACUGCCCGGUAGCUAAAUGCGGAAGAGAUAAGUGCUGAAAGCAUCUAAGCACGAAACUUGCCCCGAGAUGAGUUCUCCCUGACCCUUUAAGGGUCCUGAAGGA
rnacentral:rRNA from 1 species